rnacentral:rRNA from 1 species
AGCAGCCGCGGUAAUUCCAGCUCCAAUAGCGUAUAUUAAAGUUGUUGCAGUUAAAAAGCUCGUAGUUGAAUUUCGGGAUUAGUACGUCGGUCGUGCCUUCGGUACGUACUGGUGUUACUGAUUCCUACCUUCUGACGAACCAUCAUGUCAUUAAUUUGGUGUGGCGGGGAAUCAGGACUGUUACUUUGAAAAAAUUAGAGUGUUUAAAGCAGGCUCGCGCUUGAAUACAUUAGCAUGGAAUAAUGAAAUAGGACGUUUGAUCCUAUUUUGUUGGUUUCUAGGAUUGACGUAAUGAUUAAUAGGGAUAGUUGGGGGCAUUAGUAUUCAAUUGUCAGAGGUGAAAUUCUUGGAUUUAUUGAAGACUAACUACUGCGAAAGCAUUUGCCAAGGAUGUUUUCAUUAAUCAAGAACGAAAGUUAGGGGAUCGAAGACGAUCAGAUACCGUCGUAGUCUUAACCAUAAACUAUGCCGACUAGGGAUCGGAUGAUGUUAUUUUUAAUGACUCA